rnacentral:piRNA from 1 species
UCAAAGUUCAGCCUGAGGUGUAGUGUAUGC